rnacentral:tRNA from 1 species
UGGGAUGUCGCCAAGGGGUAAGGCAAAGGACUUUGACUCCUUUAUCCGUGGGUUCGAAUCCCGCCAUCCCAGCCA